rnacentral:lncRNA from 1 species
AAAGGACAAGAUGAAGAAGAAAAAUUCAAAGGACUUUUUCCAAAACCAAUUCCAAUUGUUAAACCUUUUCCAAAGCUCAUUCCUAUAAUUAAACCUAUUCCAAAGCCAAUUCCGGUUGUUAAACCAAUUCCUAUUCCACUUUAUAAGCCUUUUCCAAAAUCAAUUCCUAUUGUUAAGCCUAUUCCAAAGCCAAUCCCAAAUGGUAAGCCAAUUCCAACUGAAGAAGCAAAAUUCAAAGGUUUUUUUCCAAAACCUAUUCCCAUAGUUAAGCCAAUUCCAGUUGCCAAGCCAAUUCCUAUUGUUAAGCCUUUUCCAAAGCUCAUUCCUAUAAUUAAACCUAUUCCAAAGCCAAUUCCGAUUGUUAAACCAAUUCCUAUUCCAGUUUAUAAGCCUAUUCCAAAAUCAAUUCCUAUUGUUAAGCCUAUUCCAAAUGGUAAGCCAAUUCCAACUGAAGAAGCAAAAUUCAAAGGGUUUUUUCUAAAACCUAUUCCCAUAGUUAAGCCAAUUCCAGUUGCCAAGUCAAUUCCUAUUGUUAAGCCUAUCCCUAUCACAGUAUAUAAGCCUAUUACAAAAUCAUUUCCCACUGUUAAGCCUAUAC